UGGCCUCCUGCUUCAACAGUGCUUGGAUGGAGCCCA
rfam:Fukomys damarensis contig94006, whole genome shotgun sequence.